GGAGAAAGAAGGUAAUAUUUGAGGAAAGGGAUUGAGUUUGACUCCAUUUGUGCAAAAUGAAAACAAUAAAGCACAAUUUUAUACUGGUUCACUCAAGAACUCUUAAGGGGUUUCUUUAAUCUUAUCAAAUAUUAUAACGAGUUUAACUCAUUCCUAGUUACAAGUAUUAUUACCACUCAUGGUCCCCUAGUCAAUCUUGACUAGUCCGAGUAUUAUAAAUCACUCCCGGUUCCCCUAGUCAACACAACUAGUCUGAGUAUUCUUACACCAGUCCUGGUUCACCUAGUUAACAUGACUAGUCAAAGUAUUCUUACACCACUCCUAGUUCACAUUGUCAACACGACUAGUUUGAGUUUACCCACUCCUAGUUCUUAAGUAUUAUUACCACUCUUGGUUCCUAAGUAUUGUCAACCCCUCCUAGUUCUUUAGUCCAUCCUGACUAGUACACAAAUUUAGUACAAAUGUUUCAUGCAAACAUAAUUAGUCUUUGAUCACAAUUAUAGAUUGUAUAAGUUCUCAGGAAGAUUAAACAAUAUAAAACAAUUUAUGAACUCGUUAGAUUUCUUCUCUUAUGUUGAAGAGUAUCGGAUGGUAUAAGCUCGUGAAGUUCUUCCUCUCUUUUCUUCUCUUCUUUUCUUUUUUUCUCCUUUCUUCUUCUUCUCUUUUCUUCUUUCUCUUUUC
rnacentral:lncRNA from 1 species